GCCUCGUCCAGCAGCAGGAUCUUCGGGUCCCGUAUGAUCGCCCGGGCGAUGGCGAUGCGCUGCUUCUGACCGCGAGACAGCUGAGAUCCCUGGGCUCCGACGUUUGUCUGGUAUUUCUGAGGCCGGAUGGAAUAAUAUGACAGAUAAACCUCAUGAUACCCUCCCAUGGUCCAAACAUUCCCGCACACAAUGCCCACAGUACCUCAGGAAGCGCCAUGACGAAGCUGUGGAGCUGGGCUUUCUUGGAGGCAGAGAUGACCUCGUUCAUGCUGAUUUCCCGCGAGUUGUCGCCGUACUUGAUGUUCUCUUCGAUGCUGCAGUCGAACAGGAUGGGCUCCUGGGACACGAUGCCAAUCUUAGAGCGCAGGAAGGGCACGCUGACACCCGUCGAGUCAUGGCCAUCUAUCAGCUGCGGGAAGCCAUUGAUUUUACCAUGAGGAGAAAGCAAUAUAAUAACCAAAAGCUGGAAAUACAAUCCACUUAAUGAGCCAUCAUUACACCAUCUCUACUGUGAUUGCUCUACUCGCUACCUAGAGGUAAUUAUGUCCUCCUCAAACAUCAGGACCCACGUUUCCAAACCACUUCCAACUAAAUUAAGCCAGUUGAAUCUUGGCAGGGAUCCGUACUAGCACAAAGACAAACCUCCAUCUUUUUGUUAUUUUAACCAGCACAAAGUCAGGAUACAAGAUCAAAUGAAUAGAAGUCAGAUAUACUUCCCUGAAUGUUAAGCAAUCCUUCUUUGACAUUGAAAAAUGUCAGAUCUUUACCUCCCAGCGACACUCAAAUAAACCUCAUGAGUGUAAAUAAUUGAAAGCAGACUAUACAUGACUUAUUAAUCUCACAAUGAGAGAUCUGACAUUUUGAUAAAGGUCAGCAUCUGCUGUGACAAUAUAAUGUGUCAGACCUUUUGUUUGUACUUUCCAUGUUGAAAAAGGCUAAGUAUUCCCCAGUAUCCUGUGCAGGGCCUCUUGGGGCAGAAGAAGUUAAAACGCAACACUGACACUAUUAUCUCCUUAUAAAGCUAAUGUAGCUAUUGUGGCUAAUAUAGCUAAUGUGGCAGUUGUCUAUUUACCCAUUCAGAAGAUGUGUUGCAACAUUAGCAUUCAUUUAGGGUUCCGUUUGAAUUAACUUGACAAAUUGAAGUCCAAUAUCCACUCCCUUUUAGCUGGAAUGUUGCUCAGUAUCAGUUGGGAAAUCUAAUGAAAAGUCAACUCAUCAAUGUCAUUAUAGAAAAGUCAAUACAAUUUGCAUGCCUCCUGAUGCAAUUAAAAAAAUUAACUACCCUGUAUGUAUUUAAUUGAUUAGUUAAAUAAUAUUGUAUCUGGAUGAGUUGGAGCUCAUUUGAAUUACUGUUGGCUUGUUAAAUUAGGAAAAUUAACCAGAUAUUAUAGGCUGAAGAAUAAAUGUAGUGGUGUAAUGUUCUAUAUGUUGUGAAGUAGGAGUAUCUCAGAUUGUCCAGUUAGAAUAAAGCUAUUCAUAGUCCACUGACAGUAUAUACAGUAUGCCUCGCCGUGCCCUCACCACUCGGCCGUGGUCCGGGUCGUAGAACCUCUCCAGCAGCUGGACGCUGGUGCUCUUCCCACAGCCGCUGCUGCCCACGAAGGCCAGCGUCUGGCCCGGCUUCACCGACACAUUCAGCCCAUUCAGGACCUGAAUGUCUGGCCUGGUGGGGUAGGUGAACUUACAGUCAAUGAACUCAAUGUUCCCCUGGAAGUUAUCCUGAAAACACAGCAGGGGGGGGGGGGGGAGAACAGGAAAAAGAGAGCAAAGGUUAGGGUAGGUUUCUCUGUGUGUUAGGGUGCCAUCUCCUGUUCGCAAAAGGCAGAUAACACUCCCAAUGUAUUGAAAUUAAUUGAAUUAUUAAAAAUGUUUAUUCAAUAUUCCUAACAAGUACUGGUACCGGAAUUUUGAGGAAACCUUUUUUUCUUUAUAUAUAUUAUAUGUGAUAAAAGGACCUACAAUCCAUACUUGUCUUUUCACACGUUUUUAAUGACUGAUGUAAAAUGAAUAGGCAAAGCAAUAAAAGAAUAAUAAAUUAGACUUUUCACCACAGAAGAGCAAUCAUUUCUUUAUAUACUCAGCGUGCAAUGUGUCAGAACAGCACAUACACGAAGCAUAACAUAUGCCCUCAUACCCAUUUAUCUCCCUUAUCGCUGUAGACGCUGAUCUGAGGCACGCGGUCCAGCAGCUGGAAGAAACGAGCCGCUGAGAUCUUGGCCUUGGCGUAGUCCGGUGUGUAAGACGAGGCUCGACCGAGGGCUGUGCCACUGGUGACGAUGGCUGAGAUGACCCUGACCAAGAAACCAACACAAUUCUCAAAGAUGAUGGUGGCAGCUCCACGUCCUGAAGCAAAAGCCUCCAGGCACGGGGAGGCCUGUCCCAGAUUCAGGGCUGCUAUCAGAACACCAAAGAACACCUGGAAGAAAGCUCGUUGAGCUCAACGUCGUAUUCUAUGAAGGUGUCGGUGAGCAGGCCGAACACCAGCAGCAUGAGGGGCUGCGCCGAGCCGUGCAGCACCGCGCAGACGCUCCCCAUCACCAUCAUCAGCACCUCGUUGCAGCUGGCGUAACGGAACUGGACAAGAAGGUGAGCACAACACUGGCAUCAGCUCCAUGGAGACGGAUUACAACGUAUUAAAAAGCUAAAGAAAGAGUAUUUUACCAGCUGAAAGAAGCCGACCCGUAUCGCCGGUUGCUCCUCCUUUCCAUCAUCUCUGUUGGAAUAAAAGAAUAGGUUUUAUUAUAUAAGGUGAAUGUAUCCAAGGCCUCUAUUGCUGUCUUUACUCACUUAUCAGCCUUGGAAGUUGUGUUGUUCCUGCAAAGUAAAACACAGAACAUACAGUUAGCCGCUUAAAGGGGCCCUAUUUCAGGUUCAUAUCAGUAUGUAGUGUCUCUACUGGGACAUGUCUCCAUGCUUUAAUGUUCUAAACGCGCUUUAUCACCUCUUUUCACCCUCUGUCUGAAACCAGAGCCCAGCCUGCUCUGUGUUUAAUGUUAGGUUUACAAAUGCAAAUGAGGCAUUAAUCAGUACUUGCCUAGGGUACAAGUUGGAAAUGCAUGGAUUAAUCCAGGAUGAUAGAUGGACAACUAUUUCUACUUUCUAGGUUAAUGGAUCAUGAGUUAACCAUGGUGGAUUCACUGUUACCUCUGUCACACUUCCUGAAGUUCACUGACACGUUUUA